rnacentral:pre_miRNA from 1 species
CCCAAGAGACAGGCCGAGAGUGAUUCCUGAGCCCUUCACUCUUUUCCUUUUCUCUGCAGGG